rnacentral:piRNA from 1 species
UGUCAAUUCACCUACUAAAGAAUAUGGC